GUUAGAUCCCAUACUUUGUACAUUACCAAUUCAAGGGAAAAACUAUGUUACCGUUUAAUCAUUUUAUUUUGGCUUGAGUUUUAUUCUACUUUUGUGUUGCAUUAUUUGAAGGGAAAUGUUAUAGUCUCAUAAAGUAAAAACAUCUCUAUUUGUCUAUUGUGCAUAGGUUAUAACAGAAAUUGAAAUCACCAUUGGAGAAACUUAGCAGUUAGCGUGCCAAUACUCAUUAAGCAAAUUUAAAUACAAAUGCUUAUGUGAAUACAUGCUUGUGCAUAUGCAAAUAAAUGUUAUCGUUUUUCAUUGGACUGAAACGAUAAAAAACUUUUGACCAUUCCUUAAAAAUGUUGUAAUCAUAGAACUGCGUAUGUGUAUUAUGAAUUGGGAUAAUGUGGUGCCUUCUUCUUCUUCUUCUUCUU
rnacentral:misc_RNA from 1 species